AGAGUUUGAUCAUGGCUCAGAUUGAACGCUGGCGGAAUGCUUUACACAUGCAAGUCGAACGGCAGCACGGGAGCUUGCUCCUGGUGGCGAGUGGCGAACGGGUGAGUAAUAUAUCGGAACGUAUCCAAUAAUGGGGGAUAACUAGUCGAAAGAUUAGCUAAUACCGCAUACGCCCUGAGGGGGAAAGCUGGGGAUCUUCGGACCUAGCGUUAAUGGAGCGGCCGAUAUCUGAUUAGCUAGUAGGUGAGGUAAAGGCUCACCUAGGCGACGAUCAGUAGCUGGUCUGAGAGGACGACCAGCCACACUGGAACUGAGACACGGUCCAGACUCCUACGGGAGGCAGCAGUGGGGAAUUUUGGACAAUGGGCGCAAGCCUGAUCCAGCCAUUCCGCGUGAGUGAAGAAGGCCUUCGGGUUGUAAAGCUCUUUCGCAAGGGAAGAAAACUUAACCUCUAACAUAGGUUGAGGCUGACGGUACCUUGAUAAGAAGCACCGGCUAACUACGUGCCAGCAGCCGCGGUAAUACGUAGGGUGCGAGCGUUAAUCGGAAUUACUGGGCGUAAAGCGUGCGCAGGCGGCCUGAUAAGUCAGAUGUGAAAUCCCCGAGCUCAACUUGGGAACUGCGUUUGAAACUAUCAAGCUAGAAUAUGUCAGAGGGGGGUAGAAUUCCACGUGUAGCAGUGAAAUGCGUAGAGAUGUGGAGGAAUACCAAUGGCGAAGGCAGCCCCCUGGGAUAAUAUUGACGCUCAUGCACGAAAGCGUGGGGAGCAAACAGGAUUAGAUACCCUGGUAGUCC
rnacentral:rRNA from 1 species